GACGAACGCUGGCGGUGUGCUUAACACAUGCAAGUAGUGCGACGAACCAGGGCUUUCCUUGGCUCAAAGCCUCGCACGCGUGAGUAACACGCGUGUAAUCUACCCCGAUGACCGGGACAACCCGAUUAAACUCGGGCGAUAACACGACGUGAUACGGAGUCAUACGUCUCUUCACUAAAAGUAGCUCCGUCUUCCGCAUUGGAAGGGGCCCGCGGGCCAUUAGCUUGUUGGUGGGGUCAAGGCCUACCAAGGCAACGAUGGGUAGCUGGUCUGGGAGGACGAUCAGCAACACUGGGACUGGGACACGGCCCAGACUCCUACGGGAGGCAGCAGUGGGGAAUCUUGCGAAAUGCGCGAAGGCGUGACGCAGCAACACCGCGUGAGGGAAGAAGGCCUUAGGGUUGUAAACCUCGUUCAGAGGGGACGAAGGUUGUCCGGUGAAUAGCCGAGAGGAUUGACGGUACCGUAAGAAGAAGCUCCGGCUAACUACGUG
rnacentral:rRNA from 1 species